GGCACUAUACUUUAAAAUAAAAGACUUGACUUGCAAUUAAGCAUUGAAAUGAUACUUGUUUCUAGUGCCA
rnacentral:tRNA from 1 species